ensembl:lncRNA
CUGGAAUGGGUAGCCAUUUCUCUAGGGGCUCUUCCUGACCCAAGGACUGAACCCAGGUCUCCCACACUAUUUUUGAAGGGUUUUUAAAGGUGAUGACAUAUUUGCCUUUUAAAUGGCCACUUUGAUCGAGGUGUGGACAACAGGUUGAAGGGAGCAGAAUGGAUGAGAGAAAACUUAUUGAGAGCCUAUUUAUAAUUGUCCAGUAGGAAGAGCCCUGAAGUAUGGAAAGAAGAUUCAAGAUCCAACAGAAGAAGUGAAAAGAAUUGAGCAGAGUGGUGGUUGAAGGGGUUACGAGUCAAUGGGAUGAUAUGAAGAGGAAGGCAUCAUCUUGGUAUUCAAACUGUUGAGUUAUUGUUGAAAUUCACUCUUUCCUUGGUUUCCAUAUCAACAUCUUUUCUCCAAGAUCUUUUCCAUCUGUUUCUGACUGUGAAGCCUCAGAACUUUAUACCUAAUGCUGUCAGAUAUUCCCAGCAGUAUUCCACAGAGACCUAAUACUCAAUAUAUGCAACUUUAAUGCCA